rnacentral:lncRNA from 1 species
GUCUGGGCCCUUGAGUUCUCUCCCUCCCCCUGCGUCACCUCCCUGGGGCGGGGCUGUGUCCCCCCUAUAAAGCCCAGGAAGCCGCAGUACCCAGGCCAGCCAGCCUUCACCUCCAGCUCUGCACACCCAGCCUUACAGGUCCCAGCAGGAUGUCGGACACCGAGGAGCAGGACUAUGAGGAGUGAGCUGUGUUCCACAGGGACCGGGGUGGGUAGUGGAGCCCCCGGAGGCCCUAGAUGUCUAACUGUCCCCUUUCUCUCCCGGGUCCCCAGGGAGCAGGCUGAAGGUGAGUGGAUGGGGCAGCCUGGGCAGGAGGUCGCCCUGGCAUCUGACACCGGGCUUGGGCGGAGAGGACACUGGGUCUGGAGUCGGCCCCUGGUCCCGCCCCCGGGGACCCCCAUCUACACCCGGGCCUCCCCACCUCGCCUGGCCCCGCCCUUGGACUCCGCCCCUCCCCCUUCCCCAUCU